UUCAGCACUUGGGAAACCGUGGUGAACCUGAACCUGAACCGGGGGGAGGAAAGUAGUCUGAAUGGCUGCCAUUUGAGUCCAAGGCCCACAGUCAGUGGGAAGGAUGCUAACCUGCAGCCCUCUCCAUAUGCUGAAGUAAUGGAGGCUUCCAUUACAAGGAGCUAUCUACUAAGCAGAGCCCAAAUUUGGUAUCCUAAGUAGGGAAACGGC